GGCCUGAUAGCUCAACUGGCACAGCACCGGUAUCGCAGAGGCCAGGGCUCGAAUCCCCGUUCAGGCCA
rnacentral:tRNA from 1 species